rnacentral:rRNA from 1 species
GAUGAACGCUGGCGGCGUGCUUAACACAUGCAAGUCGAGCGAAGCACUUAAGUUUGAUUCUUCGGAUGAAGACUUUUGUGACUGAGCGGCGGACGGGUGAGUAACGCGUGGGUAACCUGCCUCAUACGGGGGGAUAACAGUUAGAAAUGGCUGCUAAUACCGCAUAAGACCACAGUACUGCAUGGUGCAGUGGUAAAAACUCCGGUGGUAUGAGAUGGACCCGCGUCUGAUUAGGUAGUUGGUGAGGUAACGGCCCACCAAGCCGACGAUCAGUAGCCGACCUGAGAGGGUGACCGGCCACAUUGGGACUGAGACACGGCCCAGACUCCUACGGGAGGCAGCAGUGGGGAAUAUUGCACAAUGGGCGAAAGCCUGAUGCAGCGACGCCGCGUGAAGGAUGAAGUAUUUCGGUAUGUAAACUUCUAUCAGCAGGGAAGAAAAUGACGGUACCUGACUAAGAAGCCCCGGCUAACUACGUGCCAGCAGCCGCGGUAAUACGUAGGGGGCAAGCGUUAUCCGGAUUUACUGGGUGUAAAGGGAGCGUAGACGGCUGUGCAAGUCUGAAGUGAAAGGCAUGGGCUCAACCUGUGGACUGCUUUGGAAACUGUGCAGCUAGAGUGUCGGAGAGGUAAGUGGAAUUCCUAGUGUAGCGGUGAAAUGCGUAGAUAUUAGGAGGAACACCAGUGGCGAAGGCGGCUUACUGGACGAUGACUGACGUUGAGGCUCGAAAGCGUGGGGAGCAAACAGGAUUAGGUACCCUGGUAGUCCACGCCGUAAAC